AUUGAACGCUGGCGGCAUGCCUUACACAUGCAAGUCGAACGGCAGCGGGGGAGAAGCUUGCUUUUCCUGCCGGCGAGUGGCGAACGGGUGAGUAAUACAUCGGAACGUGCCCUGUAGUGGGGGAUAACUAGUCGAAAGAUUAGCUAAUACCGCAUACGACCUGAGGGUGAAAGUGGGGGACCGCAAGGCCCCAUGCUAUAGGAGCGGCCGAUGUCCGAUUAGCUAGUUGGUGGGGUAAAGGCCUACCAAGGCGACGCUCAGUAGCUGGUCUGAGAGGACGAUCAGCCACACUGGGACUGAGACACGGCCCAGACUCCUACGGGAGGCAGCAGUGGGGAAUUUUGGACAAUGGGCGAAAGCCUGAUCCAGCAAUGCCGCGUGUGUGAAGAAGGCCUUCGGGUUGUAAAGCACUUUUGUCCGGAAAGAAAUGGCUCUGGUUAAUACCUGGGGUCGAUGACGGUACCGGAAGAAUAAGGACCGGCUAACUACGUGCCAGCAGCCGCCGUAA
rnacentral:rRNA from 1 species